AUUUCGGGCACCAUGUCUUCUUCUUUAUUUUGGGAAAAAUACCCCUCGUGGGUGAAGAGUUACAAUAAUUUAGUUGUACAUGCGUUGACUUACCCCUCCCGACAUUUUGACAGUUUGUUUUGCUUCUCACGUUUGUUUUGCUCGUUUCGCUCAUUAUGUCUCCUCCGUUAGUUCGCGGAAUCGGUUGUAAAUAUUAUUUUGAUGGAUAUUUUAUUAGUUUGUACUCUAGCAGGCAAAGGCUGAAGAAAUCCAGUAAGAAGCUGGCUGUCAUGGUCAGGUCGAAUGGCGAUUUCCCUGAAUGUUUUUUGCAACCGAAAAACGCUUCCAAACGGCGCGUAAUGCCUCAUAUUUUCUAUCGCAUCAUCAACAACAAAACCAAUGAGCCUUGGUGGAAAAUGGAUUAACGGACGCAUGAUAACAUCUGCCGCCUUAUUUGCUGUUGCAUGUAAAUGCCGGUUUAUGUUUAUGCCGGUUUAUGCCGGUUGCAAAAAGUCAAGAUUCUCCAGGAUGCGAAAAAAAGUGGUAUUUUACUGAUUGUGUCAAGCUGCAUCCACCGGUGGCUUGCUCCUCUGACUGCUACAAGGACCCAUUCGCAUCCCCUUGACUUGACAAUCAACUUAUAAGAUGUUGAAAACAUUACACUCUCGGAGAAACGUAGCACAAAAUUCUCAUCCGCAACUAUACCCCAGAAUUUGAUCAACCACGUAAGCGUACUACUCACCUCUACAUCUGCGAAUCGACGGCUCCUAAAAUCGGUUGGACAUUAUUUUUUAAAGCUAGUCCGGAAUUUGUGCGUUCACAGAUCGGAAGAAUUAUAACACAUUUGGGUGGAGGAAAUUGUAUAGCAAAUUGACCGAUCUGUAGAUGAACGUAACCAAAAACUCUUGCAAAACCAGAGCAAAUGCUGAACUCCCAUCUGAAGAAUGUCGAUAUGUAAGCUUGUACAGCCAAAAAAUACAGACCAAGUGUUAUACGGUAGAAAGUUUUGGACGAAGCCGAUAUGCUUCUGAAUGUUAACUUCCAGCACUUCUGCAUUUGAUGAAACGCUUCCCAUUUCACGGGAAUAAAUUAUAUGCAAAACAAUAUUUAAGAACCCACGGAACCCAUCUCAUCGAGGUUGCUAGUCUCGUUGCUGAUUGUGGUCGGUAGGGCGUGUCGAAAGCCGAUUAUAUGAUUUCGAGCGAAGCGGAAAAUGAAGCCAUUCGGCGAACUUUGGAUGAAAA